UAUUAAUAAAUCUAAAUUCCUAUUGUAAUUAUUUGCACAAAUGUUUCACUUUGCGAAUAUCUCCUUGUAUCUACAUAUUUCUAAGAAAUUUCGAUUAUAUAUAAGUACCCUCACCUCACAUUGAAGAGAUUGAAUCAAAGAAUGAUGAGAGCCCGAUUCUAAAUAUAAAUUAUUCUUGAAUAGUUAUUUUUCUAUCAAAUAAUAUCUCAAAUUUCAUCAAAAUUUCAUUUGUAUCGAUCACCGGUGUAUCGCUAUCGAGGCCAAAGUAUGGUCCAGUGGUGUGUGAUGCAUGCUUGUAAACCGAAGGUCCCAGGUUCAAUCCUGGAAAGGAACUAAAAAAUUUCGGUUUUUCUUCGAUAACGGAUGGCUUUAGACACAUGAUAUGAUAAAUUUCUGAGCCGAGAAAUGCCACCUAGGUCACUGACAGGCUUGGACAGCCGGGUUCUACGAUACUUGUCCAAUAAACCAAAAAAGACGGCCAGCUGAAUUCGUGGGUCAAAUGAUAACGAUUUCUUGGCCAGCGCUAGGAUGAUGGGAUGAUGGUGACCUCAGGGGCCGCUCAAGCUCAAUGUCUACCAAUACAAUGGACUUGAUAACGAUACUCCGGUGGAGAUCCAUCGGGAUUGAUACUCCAGUGGGAGAUCAAGAUUGGGAUAUCUGUCGAUUUGAUAAUUCGGUGUGAUGAAUACUCCGGUGGGAUAUCUGGUCGAUAUUGAUUUGAUACACCAGUGGGAGAUCUAAAAUAUAAGAGAUAACAUUAUAAAAAAAUUGUUUCAUCCAAAGUGUUGUGUUUAAUCUAAAUCCAUUGUUUUGUUUUAUAUAUUCUUUUUUAUACAACUUUACAAUACUUUGUUAUGAUAUUUCCUUCACGUAAAAAUCUUUUUUAAUAGCACUUCUUUCAAAGCCUCUCCACAUUGUUUGUCAUAUUUUAUCCCCUUUGUCGAUCAUAUUUCUUUCCUUUUUUUACACGAUAUUGUAAAUUAUAAAGCCUUGUUAUUAUAUUUUAUUACUUGAAGAUGGUCCUAGCCAGUUUUAA